rnacentral:rRNA from 1 species
AGAGUUUGAUCCUGGCUCAGGACGAACGCUGGCGGCGUGCCUAACACAUGCAAGUCGAACGGAAAUAUGAGGAAGAAUUCUCGGAAACAUAUUUUAGUGGCGGACGGGUGAGUAACGCGUGGGUAAUCUGCCCAAGAGAGGGGAAUAACACAGAGAAAUCUGUGCUAAUACCGCAUAACAAUCAACCAUCGCAUGGUGGAUGAUUCAAAGGAGUAAUCCGCUCUUGGAUGAGCCCGCGUCCCAUUAGCUAGUUGGUAAGGUAAAAGCUUACCAAGGCGACGAUGGGUAGCCGGACUGAGAGGUCGAACGGCCACAUUGGGACUGAGACACGGCCCAGACUCCUACGGGAGGCAGCAGUGGGGAAUAUUGCGCAAUGGGGGAAACCCUGACGCAGCGACGCCGCGUGAAGGAUGACGGUCUUUGGAUUGUAAACUUCUUUAAUCUGUGAAGAAACAAGACGGUAGCAGAAGAAUAAGCCCCGGCUAACUACGUGCCAGCAGCCGCGGUAAUACGUAGGGGGCGAGCGUUGUCCGGAUUUACUGGGUGUAAAGGGAGCGUAGGCGGAUACUUAAGUCAGAUGUGAAAUGCACAGGCUCAACCUGUGAGCUGCAUUUGAAACUGGGUAUCUUGAGUACAGGAGAGGAAAGUGGAAUUCCUAGUGUAGCGGUGAAAUGCGUAGAUAUUAGGAGGAACACCAGUGGCGAAGGCGGCUUUCUGGACUGUAACUGACGCUGACGCUCGAAAGCGUGGGGAGCGAACAGGAUUAGAUACCCUGGUAGUCCACGCCGUAACGAUGGAUACUAGUUGGUAGGGGAGUGUAGACUUUUCUUGUGCCGGAGCUAACGCAAUAAGUAUCCCACCUGGGGGAGUACGACCGCAAGGUGAACUCAAGGAAUGACGGGACCCGCACAGCAGUGGAGCAUGGUGGUUAUUCGAGCACCGCGAGACUUACAGCUGGAAUCCAUGACGCUAGAUAAGUUCUCUCGGACAUGUGGACAGUGGGGCAUGGGCAUGG